rnacentral:rRNA from 1 species
GAUGAACGCUGGCGGCGUGCUUAACACAUGCAAGUCGAACGGUGAAGGCGGAGCUUGCUCUGCUGGAUCAGUGGCGAACGGGUGAGUAACACGUGAGCAAUCUGCCCCUGACUCUGGGAUAAGCGCUGGAAACGGCGUCUAAUACUGGACACGAGCUGCGAAGGCAUCUUCAGCAGCUGGAAAGAACUUCGGUCAGGGAUGAGCUCGCGGCCUAUCAGCUUGUUGGUGAGGUAACGGCUCACCAAGGCGUCGACGGGUAGCCGGCCUGAGAGGGUGACCGGCCACACUGGGACUGAGACACGGCCCAGACGCCUACGGGAGGCAGCAGUGGGGAAUAUUGCACAAUGGGCGAGAGCCUGAUGCAGCAGCGCCGCGUGCGGGACGACGGCCUUCGGGUUGUAAACCUCUUUUAGCAGGGAAGAAGCGAAAGUGACGGUACCUGCAGAAAAAGCGCCGGCUAACUACGUG